rnacentral:rRNA from 1 species
UACGUAGGGUGCGAGCGUUGCCCGGAUUUAUUGGGCGUAAAGGGCGCGUAGGCGGCCACGCACGUCCGUUGUGAAAUCGCCCGGCUCAACUGGGCGGGGUCAGCGGAUACGGUGUGGCUCGAGCAAGCUAGGGGGCAAUGGAAUUCCCGGUGUAGUGGUGGAAUGCGUAGAUAUCGGGAGGAACACCAGUGGCGAAGGCGGUUGCCUGGAGCUUUGCUGACGCUGAGGCGCGAAAGCGUGGGGAGCGAUACGG